CAGAAGAAGAGUCGAGUUCGAGUCACACUUUGCGGUGACAUCCUUCGCCUUCCUUUCUCCCUCGAUAUUUCCUAUUCCUAUCUUUCCCCCUUUUUCUUCCCGCACCAUAAUUUUCUCUUUCCUCGCCGCACUUUCUCUCUCCGCCGAUAAGCCCUAAUUUCCAUCACUCUUUCACACCCUCUCUCCUCCGAUUGCGAGAGGUUUGAUGAACGUUUCUAGGGUUUCUACUUGCUGAAUUUCAAUUUGUAGAUUAAACACAAACACAACCCCCUAACAUUUUGCCAAAUAAUUUCAAUUAAUUGCUCGUCGAACGGGUUUUCAAGCUUCGGAGCUGACGAAUUUGCCGCAAAAGGUCCGCUUUUGCUAUUAAUUGCUCGCUGCUUCUCUCUCUUUCAUUGUGUUUUUUUUAGUGAGUUACGAUUUAUAUUCUCAGAUCUGCAUGAUUUGCGAUUUUGUGUAAUUUUUUUGUUUUAGGGUUUUGUUUUAGGAGUUUCAAUUUUCUUAUAUUCGUCGGAAACAGAAAAAAAAUAAAAUUGUUUCUUGUUUUAUCAGUCUUUGAAUUGCUUAUAUUCUAAAGAUAUAGAAUUAGGGUUAUUGAGCAUUGAGGUGUGAUUUGAAUUGAUUUUCCGAGUUUGGGGAUAUCUUUGAUUGAAUUCAUGGCUGCUAGAAGGCAUGGGGGAUACGACGAAAUUGAAUAUAAGGACCGCAGCUCGGAUAAUGAUACGUCAAGGCGAGAUAUAGCUUAUACAAAGGGUGAAUAUGAUAGAAUUAGGAAUGGUAAUUCGAUAAAGGAUCGGGAGAUGAUAAGGAGUAGAGAUACAGCUAGGGUUAGGCAGAGGGAUAUUAGGGAAAGGGAGCUUGCUAAUGGUGGUGGUUACCGCUCAUCUUCUAGUAGAAGUGAUUCAGAUGGAAGUGGGGGUGGUGGUAGUGGUGGUGGAGGGGGAGGGGGAGGAGGAGGAGGAGGAGGGCCAAGGAGAUGUGGGAAUUCAACCAGGAUUGCAGACCGUGAGCCUGGUGAGUUGUCGAGUGAGGAUGGGUCUGAGGGUGCUAUCGAGUCAGAAUCACGGUUCGUAAAGGAUAAUGAUGUGUCAAAGAUGGAUAAUGGGGUUCAGUCCUCUCCUAUGGAUACCAAGAAAAGAAAGUUUUCUCCUAUAGUAUGGGAUAGAGAUGACAAGGGAGCUAAAGAUGCAUCAAAAAGCAGAGUUCUGUUGACUUCCGCUUCCCUUCCUCCUCAACCUGUUCGGAAAUCGUACCAGCAGUUACCUGCCACAAUGCCUGUUGAGAACAAGGAGGUAUCUCCUGUUAAAAGUGACGAGCCCCUUGAAGAUUUAGAAGUUUCUCUUGUUGAUGCCUCUAUGGAACAGGAUCGUUCAGAAGAUAUUGUAUCUGGGUCUCCUGCAGGACAGCACGUUUCACCAUCUCAGGAGAGACAGUGGGGGAAUGGAGGAGAGGUUAAGCAGGUAGAAGAUGAGGACUACAUUCCCACUAGGCACAUAUCAGCCUCGAGGUGGGCAGGUGAUGCUAAUUCUCCUGCCGACGAAGGUGAAAUUUAUGAUGAUGAGAUUAUGCGAAAAAAGAGGAGAAAGAUGCCUUCUUCUGAGUUUCUAGAUACUAGGAGGAACAAGAAGUCAUCUAGUCCAGAAGCCGGAGAUGGUGCAAGAGAUAUUUCUGAUGUAGCUAAGGGAAGAUCAUCAGAUUCUGAUGGAAGCAUGCGAAGUAGACCUUCCAGUGGAGAUCGUGGUCUCCGAAAUGAUGAGGACAGGGAGGAUCAUAUGGAGGUGGAUGAUAGAUAUGAUGACACUGACUCUAGCCUUAGCCCCAGAAGAGCUGAUUCUGAUUCCGAUGAUUAUUCUAGUGAAACACCUGAACCUCCAGCUGCUCCUAAGAGAACUGUGAAUAUGCUUCAGGGUUGUAGAAGCGUGGACGAGUUCGAAAGACUGAAUAAGAUAGAUGAAGGAACCUAUGGUGUAGUUUACAGAGCUAGAGAUAAGAAGACUGGAGAAAUUGUAGCUUUGAAAAAGGUAAAGAUGGAGAAGGAAAGGGAAGGCUUUCCAUUGACUUCUCUGAGGGAAAUUAACAUUCUUUUAUCAUUGCACCACCCGUCAAUUGUUGAUGUCAAGGAAGUAGUAGUUGGAAGCAACCUUGAUAGUAUCUUUAUGGUAAUGGAAUACAUGGAGCAUGAUCUUAAAGCGCUUAUGGAGACCAUGAAACAGCCAUUUAGUCAGAGUGAAGUUAAAUGCCUCAUGCUUCAGUUAUUAGAUGGUAUAAAGUAUCUUCAUGAUAAUUGGGUCCUUCAUCGUGAUUUAAAGACAUCAAAUUUGCUUAUGAACAACCAGGGUGAGUUGAAGAUAUGUGACUUUGGAUUGGCUCGUCAAUAUGGGAGUCCGUUGAAGCCAUAUACUCAUUUGGUUGUCACACUUUGGUACAGGUCACCAGAGCUUCUGUUGGGCGCAAAAGAGUAUUCAACAGCGAUUGAUAUGUGGUCACUUGGAUGCAUUAUGGCUGAGCUGUUGUCGAAGGAGCCUCUUUUUAAUGGCAAAACAGAAUUCGAUCAGCUUGACAAGAUAUUCAGGAUUCUUGGCACACCAAAUGAGACAAUCUGGCGUGGUUUUUCCAAGUUGCCUGGCGUGAAGGUCAAUUUUGUGAAGCACCAGUACAACCAGUUGCGCAAGAAAUUUCCAGCUACAUCAUUUACAGGGUCCCCCGUCCUCUCAGAUGCUGGAUUUGACUUGCUUAACAGUCUUCUAACUUAUGAUCCUGAAAAGCGUAUCACUGCUGAUGCUGCCUUAAAACAUGAAUGGUUUCGUGAAGUUCCUCUACCCAAGUCUAAGGAGUUCAUGCCUACAUUUCCUGCUCAACAUGCGCAAGACAGGCGCGUGCGCAGGGUUCUGAAAAGCCCUGAUCCUUUGGAAGAGCAGCGAAGAAAGGAGUUGCAGCAUCCAGAAUUGGGGACUGGGGGCUUAUUUGGGUAGUAACCUAGGCCCUAGUGAAGACUUUUGCGCUCCAUGAUUUUGUCAUUGCCAACAAAUGGACAUGCAUGAGGUGAGAGAUGGAUUCAACACAACUUGCUAAAAAAGGCUUGUGAGACUGUCAUUCAUGCUGUUUUUUAGCAGGCAUGUCUGAUGAAAGGAAUGGAGGAAUAUAUUUUUUUGCCUAUGCCACAAGAUCUGUAGCAGUCAAAUAUAUUUUCCAGCUUUGGUGAUAGGGUGCAUCAUAACAGUCCAUCACAAGAGAUGGUUGGUGUAAAGCGGAGGAGACGUUCUUUGAUUUUCAUUGACGACCACUUUACAAAUUAGAGAAGAGUACUAAAGCCAGCAGGUUGAGGAGGUAGAAUAUCCAAUUGUAUUUUGGUUCUUCACAAAAUGUAUAGCUCCAGCCCAUUAGAGGUACCUUACAACUCUCAUGUUUCCAUUUACAUUUCCCUCAUGGUAACAUUUGUUUAGCUUCUUCUUUGGAGAUAGUGCUUUAAAAGUAUCAAUGCUGGUGAGUGAUGAGGUUACUUUGAGAUUAGUUUUUGAGAAAAUGAUGAUUACUUAGUUAUUAGUAUCUUCUGACUGAAUUAGAAGAAUUUCUGUAAGUCGGUUGUUCUUUGGAUUUGCCUUAAAUCAAGCAUGAAAACUAUAGAAUUCCAUGUGUUAAUAAAUGUGGGUCGUUAUUGUUAGCAGUAUGCUGCUGAUUGUGUAGUUGUGUACUAUUACUGGAUUUGCCUUCAAUCAAGCAUGAAAAACUACAGAAUUCCAUGUGUGAACAAAUAUGGUUCAUAAAUGUUAGCAGUAUGCUGCUGAUUGUGUACUUGUGUGAAUAGCUGCCAACGGAUGUGACGACUCCUUGCCUGUAUGAAAGUGUGAAACUUCUUUUUGACAUGUAAAUGCUGAUAUGAAUUAGAAAUUUGGGAUGAUUGUUAUUCUUUCUGUCUUGUUUGUGGUGAUGCAGUAAGACAUACAUCAGUUAGUUAAUUUUAUGUGUCAUCGAGUGAAUCCUGUAUACCUUUGAUGUUGCUACUAUAUUUCCGGCAUCAAUGUUAGAAGCAAGCAUGGGUUGAGCCAGGUUUAGUCUAGUAUUAAUAGAUUGUUACUUUCUGGUUGAAAUGUAUGUUCCUUACAUUUUUAUUACAAUUUUACGAACCCAUAAGAGGAAAAAGAACCAAUAGAUGUCAAAGAAAACCUAUGACCCAAAUAACUUGAGAUUUUCCUUGCUCACCAUCAGUUUCCUGUUUUUGCUAGGAUCCCAUGACUUUUGUGCUUGCCUUAAAUUCAGUUCAAUAUUGUGAUUUUAUUUAUUUAUUUUGGUCUAUAUUUGCAAUUACCUAGUCAAUUAAAUCCCAUAUGUCCUGUUUUCAUGCUAAACAUAAAAUUGUUCCUCAAUUCAAAGUGUCGUUGACUCACUGGACUGUUAAGUAGGAUGGUCUUUUGUGUAAUAACUCCUCCCUCGCUUUAUUUAAGAACUGAACAAGGGUUCCUCUGGUGUUAAUUAAUUGAUUAUGCUUGUGUUCUCCCUUGGCUUAAUUGCUCGAUCAUCUGCUGGAGGCCCUUUAUUUCUUCACAAGUUCUGGACUUCUGGUUCUCUAUCUUCUGUUUUAGUGAGAACUCACACGACCCUCUUUCUACGGUUUCUUCAUAAUUACAUACAUUUUGUUGUCCUUCCUAAAAAGUUCAGUAAAUUAUAUUUAUCCAAGGUAUGUAUGUGUUAUUAUGUAUUAUCUCCUUUUUUCUUCUUUUUCUUCUUCUAGGUAUUUUCCUUCAAUUAUGUCUGAUUAUGUGAGAUCUCAAUGUUUCGUUUGCCUUGGUGGUGUACUUCCUUCUCCCUUUUUGACGAUUUGUUAUUCGUUGGGUUUUAUUUGUGUGUGCUGCGUGUGUUGCGGAACGUUAUGCAUCGCACCCGCAUGUCUUGCACUGGUAGGGGCCUGUCAUUUUUCACCUGAUGGACUUUUAGUUACUACUGUGUAUGGUACAAGUCUUUGUUGCUAAUAGGGUAUUUAUAAUAGUUUUGUGUUCUUAAAUUUUUGAAUGUUUCGUUAAUAAAGUUGGAUUUCUGGUGACCUUGUUGGUAGUUUAGGACUGCUAGGGCCUGAUGGUUGUUUGUUGGAAUUGUAUUAUGUUAAAAAUACUUUGUAAUAGUUCAGUCUGGUUCUUCUUUGAUUACUGCGGAGUCGAGUACUCCGUAGUUACUUGUUGUGAAUGGUUCUUUUUAAUUACCUUGGGAUGUUGCACCGGAAUCUUAACGAUGUGCUAUGGACUAAAGAUGGAUGUGGGCCGGGCCGGGCCGGCACAAGACCCGAACUAACCCGACACGAAAAGCAUGACCCGGAACAUGCACAAAGUUGUGGGCUGUGGAUCAGGCCUGGGUUGCAUGUUUUGGAAAAAGCACAACAGGGCACGACACGGCUCAACUUGACACGACAAAGUAUGCUAAAUUUAGUAGAAUUAGGCUGAGACACAACGUCGUGGCCUGGCCUGGCCUGGCAUAGCCCAUGGCUCCUGUUUUGAAUUUUUCAGCCUGACCUGGUAUGAUGCAGAGUGGGCCUGGCUUGGGCCGCCCCGUUUAGGCCACAACAUGUGAAAUCGACCUGCCCAGCCCGGUCAGGCCCACGGCCAGUAUUGACCUUGGUGACAACUCCGUCAUUGAAUCUUGUUUCUUUUGAAUGUUCUACUUAAUUUUUUUAUAUAUAAUCUGCGAACUCGGAUGCUUAGCCAUUUUUUAAGGACCACGGUGAUGAUUCGAUGAACAUCCAUCUUCGCCAUAUUAUGAAAUUAUGUAGUACUUAGCUUCAAUGUUUAUAGGGGUAAAUGUAAUAAUCCCGUGUUUCGUUUGAAUUGAUCUAUCGGUAAUAUAAACACUUUUGAUUA